UAAUACAUGCAAGUCGAGCGGANUUGAUNNAGAAGCUUGCUUCUUUGAUGCUUAGCGGCGGACGGGUGAGUAACACGUAGGCAACCUGCCCUCAAGUUUGGGACAACUACCGGAAACGGUAGCUAAUACCGAAUAAUUGUUUUCUUCGCCUGAAGGAAACUGGAAAGACGGAGCAAUCUGUCACUUGGGGAUGGGCCUGCGGCGCAUUAGCUAGUUGGUGAGGUAACGGCUCACCAAGGCGACGAUGCGUAGCCGACCUGAGAGGGUGAUCGGCCACACUGGGACUGAGACACGGCCCAGACUCCUACGGGAGGCAGCAGUAGGGAAUCUUCCGCAAUGGGCGAAAGCCUGACGGAGCAAUGCCGCGUGAGUGAUGAAGGUUUUCGGAUCGUAAAGCUCUGUUGCCAGGGAAGAACGCUUGGGAGAGUAACUGCUCUCAAGGUGACGGUACCUGAGAAGAAAGCCCCGGCUAACUACGUGCCAGCAGCCGCGGUAAUACGUAGGGGGCAAGCGUUGUCCGGAAUUAUUGGGCGUAAAGCGCGCGCAGGCGGUCAUUUAAGUCUGGUGUUUAAUCCCGGGGCUCAACCCCGGAUCGCACUGGAAACUGGGUGACUUGAGUGCAGAAGAGGAGAGUGGAAUUCCACGUGUAGCGGUGAAAUGCGUAGAUAUGUGGAGGAACNNCNGUGGCGAAGGCGACUCUCUGGGCUGUAACUGACGCUGAGGCGCGAAAGCGUGGGGAGCAAACAGGAUUAGAUANCUCUGGUAGUCCACGCCGUAAACGAUGAGUGCUAGGUGU
rnacentral:rRNA from 1 species